AGUGAACGCUGGCGGUAGGCCUAACACAUGCAAGUCGAACGGCAGCACAGUAAGAGCUUGCUCUUACGGGUGGCGAGUGGCGGACGGGUGAGGAAUACAUCGGAAUCUACUUUUUCGUGGGGGAUAACGUAGGGAAACUUACGCUAAUACCGCAUACGACCUACGGGUGAAAGCAGGGGAUCUUCGGACCUUGCGCGAUUGAAUGAGCCGAUGUCGGAUUAGCUAGUUGGCGGGGUAAAGGCCCACCAAGGCGACGAUCCGUAGCUGGUCUGAGAGGAUGAUCAGCCAAACUGGAACUGAGACACGGUCCAGACUCCUACGGGAGGCAGCAGUGGGGAAUAUUGGACAAUGGGCGCAAGCCUGAUCCAGCCAUACCGCGUGGGUGAAGAAGGCCUUCGGGUUUUAAAGCCCUUUUGUUGGGAAAGAAAAGCAGCAGGUUAAUACCCCGCUGUUCUGACGGUACCCAAAGAAUAAGCACCGGCUAACUUCGUG
rnacentral:rRNA from 1 species